ACACACUGAAUAGCAGGAGAUGGAUUGCACAUCUCUUUUAUCUGCCAAUUGCCUUAUCAAAGGACUUUUCUUGCUUGGCACAAAAAUAAACAUACACAAGCAUUGCCUCUUAAGGAGGGCUUAUUAUCAAAGGACUUUUCUUGCUUGGCACAAAAAUAAACAUACACAAGCAUUGCCUCUUAAGGAGGGCUUCAGACAGGUGCCUGCCCAAGUAACAGGACAGGUCUUCCAGACUACAUGAAGUCAGAG
rnacentral:lncRNA from 1 species